rnacentral:rRNA from 1 species
CUUAGGAUGAACGCUGGCGGCAGGCUAAUACAUGCAAGUCGAACGGUAAGGCCGCCUGUAGCAAUACAGGGGGUACACGAGUGGCGCACGGGUGCGUAACGCGUAUGCAACCUGCCCCCGACCGGGACAAAACAGCUGGAAACGGCUGCUAAUAUCCCAUGGUCAUCCCGGGAGGGCAUCCUCCUGGAUGUAAAGAUUCAUUGGUCGGGGAUGGGCAUGCGUAUUAUUAGGUAGUUGGCGGGGUAACGGCCCACCAAGCCGACGAUGAUUAGGGGUCCUGAGAGGGUUAACCCCCACACUGGAACUGAGACACGGUCCAGACUCCUACGGGAGGCAGCAGUAGGGAAUAUUGGGCAAUGGGAGCAAUCCUGACCCAGCCAUGCCCGCGUGAAGGAAGACGGCCCUAUGGGUUGUAAACUUCUUUUGCCGCAGAGUAAACCCGGUCACGUGUGGCCGGUUGAGAGUAUGCGGCGAAUAAGUAUCGGCUAACUCCGUGCCAGCCGCGGC